UACGUAGGGGGCAAGCGUUGUCCGGAUUUAUUGGGCGUAAAGAGCGUGUAGGCGGCCAUGUAGGUCCGUUGUUAAAACUCGAGGCUCAACCUCGAGACGCCGAUGGAAACCAUGUGGCUAGAGUCCGGAAGAGGAGAGUGGAAUUCCUGGUGUAGCGGUGAAAUGCGCAGAUAUCAGGAAGAACACCCGUGGCUAAGGCGGCUCUCUAGUACGGUACUGACGCUGAGACGCGAAAGCGUGGGGAGCGAACAGG
rnacentral:rRNA from 1 species